AUGCUACGGUACAUUACGAUACGAUCGAAGUGGAAAACUGGCUUUAGAAUGCGUGCGGGUAUCCCAUCAGGACCGGUGGCUUUUGAUGUGUCUAAACUAGACAAACAAGCUGACACUGUUAGCUCUAUAUCAGAGAAUUUUAUAUCCGAUCUUUUGGGGGGAAAGGGAAAACUGGGCACUGCGUUGGGUGAAGUAAAACAGAGCAAAAGUACGUGUUAAAAAGUUCAGUUUUCU